CUUUCCCAUUGAAAGGCGAUAUAUUUAGGAACAGAUAUGACAUGUAUUCGCCGAACACCCUGCAGUGUGGCGGCUGAACGCAUGUGCACCGUAAUCUGGACACACAUUCACAGGACAUGAUUUGGAAUCACCAUGGCAAUGCAACUGUCAAUAUCUCCCUGCACAUCAGCCUCCCAGGACUGAACAUGGCACGGCAAGGGUGGUCUGACCAGGGAUGCUCAGUGAUUUCAAUGGUUGUUGACACAUAGUUUCUAUUAAAAGAGCCCAACAUCAAAUCAAUGUCUCUGACAAAUAUGCAUUCUAUUGACUCAUCCAGUCAAUUAAAAUCUCUAUGCUUGUCA